rnacentral:rRNA from 1 species
UACGAAGGGGGCUAGCGUUGCUCGGAAUUACUGGGCGUAAAGAGCUCGUAGGCGGCUCAGUAAGUCAGGUGUGAAAACUCCAGGCUCAACCUGGAGACGCCACCUGAUACUGCUGUGGCUAGAGUCCGGUAGGGGAGCAUGGAAUUCCUGGUGUAGCGGUGAAAUGCGCAGAUAUCAGGAGGAACACCGAUGGCGAAGGCAGGUCUCUGGGCCGAUACUGACGUGAGGAGCGAAAGCGUGGGGAGCGAACAGG